CUCCGCCGGCUGCAGCUUUGGCCAUCACCAUGCAUACAUUUAAAAGCAUCUUUUCAGUCCCUGCAUCUGAAUGCAGAUAUCUCGAUUUGAUACUCUUUUAUUCGACGCUCAGGUUUUAUCGGCUACAUUUAUAUGCGGAUGUAACGGCAUGUCAAAGCAACAUUUGUCGUCCGUUUUUUCCAUUUCAUCUUUACAUCUACGACAAAAGACGAACUGAUGUCAUGUUGUAGCCUCUUCGUUUUAUCCAAAUGAUGUUUGCGUCUUGCAGUAAGUACGAGGAUCUGUACAGCUCAGCGCGCGCACGGACAGAAGAAUUUUUCCAUGGACCCCCUGGUUUGUGAGACGUCCGCAGUUUGAAAAACUCUGGUGUAAAGAUGGCAUGGAUUGGAGAGGCCCGCUGUGCUGCUGCGGCUGCCCACACACCAUUUGCAAUGUUUGGCCGCCAGAGGGCAGCGCGGGACCGGAACCCAGUGGCACCGGAGGGAGGAAGAGAGGAAAGGCGGUCGAGAGAUCGCUGGCCGUGCAACACGGACUACAGUUCAUCUCACGGGUCGGCGCAUAUUUUAAACAGCCUUUAUUACCCUAACCCAGACCCCUGUUUUUUCCCCCUCCCCUUUCUAAAUCCGUUUACUGAGGGUCUUUUAUAAGCGGAAAUGUGAAAAGUGCUGACUGCUAUUCCCAUUUUGAGGAUAUCUGACUUCAGCAAAUUACAGUUGGGUUUUUGAAUAUUUCAUAUUUGAUCAAAAGCCUGCACACAAGCUGCACACACACACGGGUCCACAUGGGGCAUGAUACAUUUUUAAAACACCAAUCAUUAUGCACACAUUGGCCCACGAUGUCCACUUUAAUUUGGGUAUUUAUUAAGAAACCUUUGCACCUUUUUCACUUGUAUUAUUUCAAAGGUGCCUUUAAUGAAAGCCUAGGCAUAUAGUGUGUAGCAUUAGCCUUUUGUGCUAUAAGUUUGGUGCUUGCACGUGAAUCGAUUCAUGCACUCUUGUUGCUAUCGAACUGCACAACACUGCCGUUCCCCUUUUAACCCCCCCAUCUAAAACACUUUAAAAUGGCCAACCUAGGACGGAGGCCAAUAUUGGCCUUGGCUGUACCUUGAAUAAUGAAUAAUUCAUCUGUUUGACCUUUAGCUGAAGUUUAUUGGAGGGUGAAGGCAUCCUGCUGGCCUGCCUGCUGCCUGGCCCAGCUUGAGCUCUGUUUCCCCUCUCAGUCAUGUCCCCUUCGAUAUCCUCUCCUUCUCUCGCUGUCACCAAGUGAGGUGUGAGGACACGAAAUGUCUUGACCAUCAAAGUUCCUCGCCGUGUCUUGGUCUUAUGUUUUGACUUGUUUUGAAGGUCAGGUUUGUUACGUCCACCUAUAUUAAACAUAACCUCUGACCCAGCGUGAGCUGCUCAGAAUCGUGGGAUCGUCCUCCUGUAUGUCUACCCUGUGAAACAUAUUGUAUGUAAACGUAAAUCCGGUGUGCAGAAUGACAGUGAGUGAUUGCUCUGAAUUGGUUGCACGUUUGUAGAACUAUGUUCGUUUUCAAUUAAUCUUAGAUUCCAGCGUCCCAACGGUCCCAUGAGCACUUUCGCAAAGAAAUGGCUGACUGGGCUGUUUUACCU